UACGUAGGUAGCAAGCGUUGUUCGGAGUUACUGGGCGUAAAGGGUGCGUAGGCGGCCGUGUAAGUGUGGUGUGAAAUCUCCCGGCUUAACUGGGAGGGUGCGCUACAGACUGCAUGGCUAGAGUGUGGGAGAGGAAAGUGGAAUUUCCGGUGUAGCGGUGAAAUGCGUAGAUAUCAGGGAGAACACCCGUGGCUAAGGCGGCUCUCUAGUACGGUACUGACGCUGAGACGCGAAAGCGUGGGGAGCGAACAGG
rnacentral:rRNA from 1 species